ACAUGAUUAGCUCAGUUGGUAGGAGCAUGGUGCUAAAAACACCAAAGUUUUGGGUUCAAUCCCCAUGUAGACCAUUCA